rnacentral:rRNA from 1 species
GUCAUAUGCUUGUCUCAAAGAUUAAGCCAUGCAUGUCUCAGUACAAGCCAAAUUAAGGUGAAACCGCAAAAGGCUCAUUAAAUCAGUUAUGGUUCCUUAGGUCGUACCCACAAUUACUUGGAUAACUGUGGUAAUUCUAGAGCUAAUACAUGCAAACAGAGCUCCGACCGGAGACGGAAGGAGUGCUUUUAUUAGAUCAAAACCAAUCGGUGGCGGGUUCGCGCCCGUCAUCGUACAACUUGGUGAUUCUGAAUAACUUUAGGCUGAUCGCACGGUCAUCGCACCGGCGACGCAUCUUUCAAAUGUCUGCCUUAUCAACUGUCGAUGGUAGGUUCUGCGCCUACCAUGGUUGUAACGGGUAACGGGGAAUCAGGGUUCGAUUCCGGAGAGGGAGCCUGAGAAACGGCUACCACAUCCAAGGAAGGCAGCAGGCGCGCAAAUUACCCACUCCCGGCACGGGGAGGUAGUGACGAAAAAUAACGAUACGGGACUCAUCCGAGGCCCCGUAAUCGGAAUGAGUACACUCUAAACCCUUUAACGAGGAUCAAUUGGAGGGCAAGUCUGGUGCCAGCAGCCGCGG